AACGAACGCUGGCGGCAUGCCUAACACAUGCAAGUCGAACGAACCCUUCGGGGUUAGUGGCGCACGGGUGCGUAACGCGUGGGAAUCUGCCCUUUGCUUCGGAAUCACAGUUAGAAAUGACUGCUAAUACCGGAUGAUGUCUUCGGACCAAAGAUUUAUCGGCAAGGGAUGAGCCCGCGUAGGAUUAGGUAGUUGGUGGGGUAAAGGCCUACCAAGCCGACGAUCCUUAGCUGGUCUGAGAGGAUGAUCAGCCACACUGGGACUGAGACACGGCCCAGACUCCUACGGGAGGCAGCAGUGGGGAAUAUUGGACAAUGGGCGAAAGCCUGAUCCAGCAAUGCCGCGUGAGUGAUGAAGGCCUUAGGGUUGUAAAGCUCUUUUACCCGGGAUGAUAAUGACAGUACCGGGAGAAUAAGCUCCGGCUAACUUCGUGCCAGCAGCCGCCGCAGUAA
rnacentral:rRNA from 1 species